rnacentral:rRNA from 1 species
CGGAGCAUGCGGAUUAAUUCGAUGCAACGCGAAGAACCUUACCAAGGCUUGACAUACACCGGUAACGCCCAGAGAUGGGUGCCCCUUUGUGGUCGGUGUACAGGUGGUGCAUGGUUGUCGUCAGCUCGUGUCGUGAGAUGUUGGGUUAAGUCCCGCAACGAGCGCAACCCUCGUCCUAUGUUGCCAGCGGGUCAUGCCGGGGACUCAUGGGAGACUGCCGGGGUCAACUCGGAGGAAGGUGGGGAUGACGUCAAAUCAUCAUGCCCCUUAUGUCUUGGGCUUCACGCAUGCUACAAUGGCCGGUACAAAGGGCUGCGAUACCGCGAGGUGGAGCGAAUCCCAGAAAGCCGGUCUCAGUUCGGAUUGGGGUCUGCAACUCGACCCCAUGAAGUCGGAGUCGCUAGUAAUCGCAGAUCAGCAACGCUGCGGUGAAUACGUUCCCGGGGCUU